AGGUUAAGUUAACAAGGGCGCAUGGUGAAUGCCUUGGCACUAGGAGCCGAUGAAGGACGGGACUAACACCGAUAUGCUUCGGGGAGCUGUACGUAAGCUAUGAUCCGGAGAUUUCCGAAUGGGGCAACCCAGCAGUUUUAAUCAACUGUUACCACUAGAUGAAUUCAUAGUCUAGUUGGAGGUAAACGCUGUGAACUGAAACAUCUCAUUAGCAGCAGGAAUAUAAAGAAAUUUCGAUUCCCUAAGUAGCGGCGAGCGAACGGGGAACAGCCCAAACCAAAGUGCUUGCACUUUGGGGUUGUAGGACUGAACAUUUGAGUUACCAAAGAACUUGAUAGUCGAAGGAUUUGGGAAAAAUCCGCCAUAGAUGGUGAUAGCCCAGUAGAUUAAAUCAAAUUCUCUCAGUUCAGGAUCCUGAGUACGGCGGAACACGUGAAAUUCCGUCGGAAUCCGGGAGGACCAUCUCCCAAGGCUAAAUACUACCUAGUGACCGAUAGUGAACCAGUACCGUGAGGGAAAGGUGAAAAGCACCCCGGGAGGGGAGUGAAAUAGUUCCUGAAACCAUGUGCCUACAAUAAGUCAGAGCGCGUUAAUGCGUGAUGGCGUGCCUUUUGUAGAAUGAACCGGCGAGUUAUGAUCCCGUGCAAGGUUAAGACUAAAAAGUCGGAGCCGUAGCGAAAGCGAGUCUGAAAUGGGCGUUUUGAGUACGAGGUUAUAGACCCGAAACCAGGUGACCUAUCCAUGUCCAGGUUGAAGGUGCGGUAAAACGCACUGGAGGACCGAACCCGUGUAAGUUGAAAAAUUGCUGGGAUGAGGUGUGGAUAGCGGUGAAAUUCCAAACGAACUUGGAGAUAGCUGGUUCUCUCCGAAAUAGCUUUAGGGCUAGCCUCGGAAUUAGGAUCAUGGAGGUAGAGCACUAUUUGGACUAGGGGCCCGUCUUGGGUUACUGAAUUCAGAUAAACUCCGAAUGCCAUUGAUUCAUAUCCGGGAGUCAGACGAUGAGUGAUAAGAUCCACCGUCGAAAGGGGAACAGCCCAGACCAUCAGUUAAGGUCCCUAAAUGUAUGCUAAGUGGAAAAGGAUGUGGAGUUGCAUAGACAACUAGGAUGUUGGCUCAGAAGCAGCCACCAUUUAAAGAGUGCGUAAUAGCUCACUAGUCGAGUGAUCCUGCGCCGAAAAAUGUACCGGGGCUAAGCAUACUACCGAAACCAUGGAUGCGACCAUUAGGUCGCGUGAUAGGAGAGCGUUCUAAGGGCGGUGAAGCAAGAUCGUGAGGACUUGUGGAGCGCUUAGAAGUGAGAAUGCCGGUAUGAGUAGCGAAAGAUAGGUGAGAAUCCUAUCCACCGAAUGACUAAGGUUUCCUGGGGAAGGCUCGUCCUCCCAGGGUUAGUCGGGACCUAAGUCGAGGCCGAGAGGCGUAGACGAUGGAUAACAGGUUGAGAUUCCUGUACUAGUUAAGUGCGUUUGAGCAAUGGAGGGACGCAGGAGGCUAAGAUGUGCAUUCUGUUGGAUUAGAAUGUCCAAGCAGUAAGUCUUGUGAAGAGUCAAAUGCUUUUCACUUUAAGGACAAGCUGUGAUGGGGAGCGAAAUUUAGUAGCGAAGCGUCUGAUGUCACACUGCCGAGAAAAGCUUCUAGUGAGUACUUAACUACCCGUACCGCAAACCGACACAGGUAGUCGAGGAGAGAAUCCUAAGGUGAGCGAGUGAACUCUCGUUAAGGAACUCGGCAAAAUGACCCCGUAACUUCGGGAGAAGGGGUGCUGAUCGCAAGAUCAGCCGCAGUGAAUAGGCCCAGGCGACUGUUUAUCAAAAAAACACAGGUCUCUGCAAAAAUCGUAAGAUGACGUAUAGGGGCUGACGCCUGCCCGGUGCUGGAAGGUUAAAAAGGAUGGGUUAGCUUCGGCGAAGCUCAGAAUUGAAGCCCCAGUAAACGGCGGCCGUAACUAUAACGGUCCUAAGGUAGCGAAAUUCCUUGUCGGGUAAGUUCCGACCCGCACGAAAGGCGUAACGAUCUGGGCACUGUCUCAACGAGAGACUCGGUGAAAUUAUAUUGUCCGUGAAGAUGCGGACUACCCGCGACAGGACGGAAAGACCCCAUGGAGCUUUACUGUAGCUUGAUAUUGAGUGUUUGUACAGCUUGUACAGGAUAGGUAGGAGCCAUAGAAACCGGAACGCUAGUUUCGGUGGAGGCGUUGGUGGGAUACUACCCUCGCUGUAUGACCACUCUAACCCGCACCACUAAUCGUGGUGGGAGACAGUGUCAGGUGGGCAGUUUGACUGGGGCGGUCGCCUCCUAAAAAGUAACGGAGGCGCCCAAAGGUUCCCUCAGAAUGGUUGGAAAUCAUUCGCAGAGUGUAAAGGCACAAGGGAGCUUGACUGCGAGACAGACAGGUCGAGCAGGGACGAAGUCGGGCUUAGUGAUCCGGUGGUACCGUAUGGAAGGGCCAUCGCUCAACGGAUAAAAGCUACCCUGGGGAUAACAGGCUUAUCUCCCCCAAGAGUCCACAUCGACGGGGAGGUUUGGCACCUCGAUGUCGGCUCAUCGCAUCCUGGGGCUGUAGUCGGUCCCAAGGGUUGGGCUGUUCGCCCAUUAAAGCGGUACGCGAGCUGGGUUCAGAACGUCGUGAGACAGUUCGGUCCCUAUCCGUCGCGGGCGUAGGAAAUUUGAGAGGACCUGUCCUUAGUACGAGAGGACCGGGAUGGACAUACCUCUGGUGUACCAGUUGUGCCGCCAGGCGCAUCGCUGGGUAGCUACGUAUGGAUGUGAUAAACGCUGAAAGCAUCUAAGUGUGAAACACACCUCGAGAUGAGAUUUCCCAUUCCUUUAUGGAAGUAAGACCCCUGAAAGAUGAUCAGGUAGAUAGGUUAGAAGUGGCAGUGCGGUGACGCAUGAAGCGGACUAAUACUAAUCGGUCGAGGACUUAACCAAG
rnacentral:rRNA from 1 species